rnacentral:rRNA from 1 species
AUACGGAGGAUGCGAGCGUUAUCCGGAUUUAUUGGGUUUAAAGGGUGCGUAGGCUGUGCGUUAAGUCAGGGGUGAAAUGCCGUCGCUCAACGACGGAGCUGCCCUUGAUACUGGCGUGCUGGAGUACGGAUGCCGUUGGAGGAAUGAGUGGUGUAGCGGUGAAAUGCUUAGAUAUCACUCAGAACACCGAUUGCGAAGGCUUCUGACGAAACCGUCACAGACCACGAGGCACGAAAGCGUGGGGAAAGAACAGUAUAAGAUGCCCUGGUAUUCCACGGCGUAAACGAUGAUGACUAACCGUCGGCGAUAGACAGCCGGUGGCCAAGCGAAAGCGAUAGGUAAUCCACCCGGGGAGUACGUCGGCAACGAUGAAACUCAAAUGAAUUGACGGGG